rnacentral:rRNA from 1 species
UUAGAUUAGCUAGUUGGUGGGGUAAAGGCCUACCAAGGCAGUGAUCUAUAGCUGGUCUGAGAGGAUGAUCAGCCACACUGGAACUGAGACACGGUCCAGACUCCUACGGGAGGCAGCAGUGGGGAAUAUUGGACAAUGGGCGCAAGCCUGAUCCAGCUAUGCCGCGUGAGUGAGGAAGGCCUUAGGGUUGUAAAGCUCUUUCAGUGGGGAAGAUAAUGACGGUACCCACAGAAGAAGUCCCGGCAAACUCCGUGCCAGCAGCCGCGGUAAUACGGAGGGGGCAAGCGUUGUUCGGAAUUAUUGGGCGUAAAGGGCGUGUAGGUGGUUUAGUUAGUUAAAGGUGAAAUGCCAGGGCUUAACCCUGGAGCUGCUUUUAAUACUGCUAGACUGGAGUCCGGGAGAGG